GGAAGCAGCUUGCUGCUUCGCUGACGAGUGGCGGACGGGUGAGUAAUGUCUGGGAAACUGCCUGAUGGAGGGGGAUAACUACUGGAAACGGUAGCUAAUACCGCAUAACGUCGCAAGACCAAAGAGGGGGACCUUCGGGCCUCUUGCCAUCGGAUGUGCCCAGAUGGGAUUAGCUAGUAGGUGGGGUAACGGCUCACCUAGGCGACGAUCCCUAGCUGGUCUGAGAGGAUGACCAGCCACACUGGAACUGAGACACGGUCCAGACUCCUACGGGAGGCAGCAGUGGGGAAUAUUGCACAAUGGGCGCAAGCCUGAUGCAGCCAUGCCGCGUGUAUGAAGAAGGCCUUCGGGUUGUAAAGUACUUUCAGCGGGGAGGAAGGUGUUGAGGUUAAUAACCUCGGCGAUUGACGUUACCCGCAGAAGAAGCACCGGCUAACUCCGUGCCAGCAGCCGCGGUAAUACGGAGGGUGCAAGCGUUAAUCGGAAUUACUGGGCGUAAAGCGCACGCAGGCGGUCUGUCAAGUCGGAUGUGAAAUCCCCGGGCUCAACCUGGGAACUGCAUUCGAAACUGGCGGCUAGAGUCUUGUAGAGGGGGGGUAGAAUUCCAGGUGUAGCGGUGAAAUGCGUAGAGAUCUGGAGGAAUACCGGUGGCGAAGGCGGCCCCCUGG
rnacentral:rRNA from 1 species